rnacentral:rRNA from 1 species
CAGCCGCCGCGGUAAUACGUAGGGUGCGAGCGUUAAUCGGAUUUACUGGGCGUAAAGCGUGCGCAGGCGGCCCGUUAAGACAGGUGUGAAAUCCCUGGGCUCAACCUAGGAAUUGCGCUUGUGACUGGCGGGCUCGAGUACGGUAGAGGGGGGUGGAAUUCCUGGUGUAGCAGUGAAAUGCGUAGAGAUCAGGCGGAACACCGAUUGCGAAGGCAGCCCCCUGGGCCUGUACUGACGCUCAUGCACGAAAGCGUGGGGAGCAAACAGGAUUAGAUACCCGGGUAGUCCACGCCAUAAACGAUGGGUACUAGCCGUUUGGUGCGCGAUAGCGCUGAGUGGCGAAGCUAACGCGUGAAGUACCCCGCCUGGGGAGUACGGCCGCAAGGUUGAAACUUAAAGGAAUUGGCGGG